AUUUCUUCUUCUCUGCGUAUCAGUCUCUCUCUCAUUCCAGAAGCUCUCUGGGCUUUUUUUUUUCUUUUUAUGGUUUCAAGCUUCAAUCCUUGAUUUUUCUCUCAAUUCUUGGCGGAUUUAGGUGCCGUUUGAGGCAAAACGACGAGCACGACGAGCUCUACGUGCUAGUACCAGAAAUUCCAGCUUUUAGCCUCUCCUUGGAGUUCGAAAUUCAAGACCCAUUUUAAGGGUUUUGUGCAAUCUUGAGGUCAUGGCAAAGCAACGGCGGAUGACAAUCCUCCGCAAACUUGAAAGUUGUUAAAAGAAUCAUAACUAUGCUGUUGACCCUGCAUCACUUCCCGAGGGUGUGGAAGUGACUCAAGUCAAUCUCAAUGAUGGAAGCUGUGAUGGUCUUGCGUUUCCUCAACUAAAACUCAUGUCUCUUCAGUACCACCCUGAAGCAUCUCCAGGACCUAAUGAUUCAGAUUCUGCUUUUGGGGAAUUUAUAUGACUUAUGAAGCAAGAAAAACAAAAUGCAUGAUAAAAAUCUGCACCAACAUACAUGGUUUGAUGUGGGCUCAGUGGAAAUAGUUGCAAUGUUGGUAGCAGGAAUGUGACGAUGAUGAAGAAGGUGCUGAGGGAAACUUGUACUGAAAUUCAAAGCAACUGCAACACAUAAAGAGGUCAGUGGUGGAAGUUGCUUUUUGUUGUCAACAUUGGCUAAAGCAUGCCAAGAAAUUUUGUAAAAGAGUAAUAAUCCGUCAAGUUUGUUAGUUUCUAUGAAAUAGGUUCAAUAUAUAUAUAUAUAUAUAUGUUGGUCUAAUUUGCUACAUUAACCAGUCCUUGAAGGUAUGUAUUAUGAUUGGACAAUAUAGUUUCUCGUAAGAACAGUCUUGAUGGUUAAAGAGCAUUCCUUCAUGUGUUCACA